rnacentral:lncRNA from 1 species
GGGGAUCUGUGCUACCUGGAUAGGCCUGAUGAGAAGCAGUGCCUAGAGCACGGAAGCAAAAGAUCAGUGAGAAGUGCUAUGAUUACCAACACUACUACCAACAUUAUUAUUUUUUCUUUUAUAUCACAGAUGCAGACAUCAAGUCUUCAGAAACAGGAGCCUUCAGGGUGCCUUCACCAGGGAUGGAAGAGGCAGGCUGCAGCAGAGAGAUGCAGAGUUCUUUCACACGUCGUGACUUAAAUGAAUCUCCCGUCAAGUCUUUUGUUUCCAUUUCAGAAGCCACAGAUUGCUUAGUGGACUUUAAAAAGCAAGUUACUGUCCAGCCAGGUAGUCGGACACGGACCAAAGCUGGCAGAGGAAGAAGGAGAAAAUUCUGAAUUUCUAGGGUCCAAAAGUUGACAAAACCAUUAGUAGGAGGGGUGGGCCAUGUUCAUUAAGCCAUAGUGGUCCCUAGUUCAUUGUUGAG